UCUGUUGUGAAACAAAAUACAAAAAGAAGAAGAAAGAGUGUGUUACAGGUGAUGUCAGAUGUGAUGCAAACUGGUUUCAGGGAACCUUGGAAUGAGAGGAAAAGUGGGAAAUUGAAAAGAGAAAGGACAAAGAAGAUGCAAAUAAUCCUCUAGUUUGAAGAUAUAAAGGUGGAGGAGAAGAGAAAAGUGAAGAAACAAGAGAAGGCAACUUCUGUGUUCUGCUUGCACAAGAUGGCUACAGGUUACAAGUCACUCAAUUUUAGCUUGCACUAAGGAAAACUGUGAGGAACGUAAUCAUAAAUAACACAAGAAAAUCAGACAUUUUAGAAGAACCAAAGCAACACAAAUGCUCGUUGGUGCCAAAAGACUUUACCAUAGACCUACGCUUUAACUGGCACAUGCACGCUGAAUACCCCUCUAAUACAAAGGAAACCCUUUGGGCGCAGGAUUUGCAACUGAAGCAUGUGCAGAAGACCUGAGUCUCCAGGUCUCCACUCAGAUCAGAACGUCCAACUAGAUGCUCUCCACAGUCUACCUCUGGCUGUGCUAACACCAAUGCUUUGUUGGGUUUCUCCUGCCUCCUCUGCCUCCCAGCUCAAGCCUGUAUUCAGACAAGUAUUACAGAUUUAAACUGUAAUUGAAAACACAUAGUACUUUUGAUUUGAUUGAAUUUUUUUAAGCUGUGUGAUGAAUAGGAAUGGUACUUUGGCGUACCCUAGUGGUGAUUUGUAGUUAGACAACUGUGCCCCACCCAAAAAUUACUUCACCAGCUGUCACUGCUUGCAAGUGUAAUAAUAAAACAUCUGCAUACAGACA